rnacentral:rRNA from 1 species
AUUGAACGCUGGCGGCAUGCUUUACACAUGCAAGUCGAACGGUAACAGGCCUUCGGGUGCUGACGAGUGGCGAACGGGUGAGUAAUGCAUCGGAACGUACCCAGAGGUGGGGGAUAACGCAGCGAAAGCUGUGCUAAUACCGCAUGUGAUCUGAGGAUGACAGCGGGGGACCGAGCAGCAAUGUUUGGCCUCGCGCCUUUGGAGCGGCCGCUGUCGGAUUAGCUAGUUGGUGGGGUAAAGGCCUACCAAGGCGACGAUCCGUAGCUGGUCUGAGAGGACGACCAGCGACACUGGGACUGGGACACGGCCCAGACUCCUACGGGAGGCAGCAGUGGGGAAUUUUGGACAAUGGGCGCAAGCCUGAUCCAGCAAUGCCGCGUGCGGGAAGAAGGCCUGCGGGUUGUAAACCGCUUUUGGCAGGAACGAAACGGUGUCCGCUAAUACCGGGCGCUAAUGACGGUACCUGCAGAAUAAGCACCGGCUAACUACGUG